rnacentral:rRNA from 1 species
UUGUGCCUACGGGGGGCAGCAGUGGGGAAUAUUGCACAAUGGGGGGAACCCUGAUGCAGCGACGCCGCGUGAGUGAAGAAGUAUUUCGGUAUGUAAAGCUCUAUCAGCAGGGAAGAAAAUGACGGUACCUGACUAAGAAGCCCCGGCUAACUACGUGCCAGCAGCCGCGGUAAUACGUAGGGGGCAAGCGUUAUCCGGAUUUACUGGGUGUAAAGGGAGCGUAGGCGGUAGGUCAAGUCAAGGGUGAAAUCCCCGCGCUCAACGUGGGAACUGCCUUUGAA